CUGUUAACACAUAUACUAAAAUUGGAAUGAUACAGAGAUGAUUAACAUGCUCCUUGCACAAGGAUAACAUGCAAAUUUGUGAAGUGUUUCAUUUAAAA
ensembl:snRNA U6 U6 spliceosomal RNA